UAUUUAUUUAUUUAUUUUUAUUUUCAUUUUUAAUUAUUUUAUUUUCUGACCAUCUCCUAUCUCCUGGAAUUAUGCACAACAUGCAACGGGGAAGGAGGGGGAGAAGGAACCGCAAUUUCGGAUUG
rnacentral:ribozyme from 12 species